UACAGAGGGUGCGAGCGUUUAAUCGGAAUUACUGGGCGUAAAGCGUGCGUAGACGGUCAAGUAAGUCGGGUGUGAAAGCCCCGGGCUCAACCUGGGAAUUGCAUUCGAGACUGCGUGGCUAGGGUGCGGAAGAGGGAUGCGGAAUUCCAGGUGUAGCGGUGAAAUGCGUAGAUAUCUGGAGGAACACCGGUGGCGAAGGCGGCAUCCUGGACCAAUACUGACACUGAGGAGCGAAAGCCAGGGGAGCAAACGGG
rnacentral:rRNA from 1 species